CUUACUAAAAAUAUGAAAAAUAAUCAAAACAGUGAGUAAGAAAAAAAUGAAAAAUCCUACAAGAACAUGCUUUAAUUAUCCAAUAUUACUAUAUUAAAUAAAAUAAAAUUUCUAGUUAUUUACAUAACUUUAAAACAAUCAUAAUAACCUCAUAAACAAGUAGAUUUCUCAACUGUUUACACAAAAUAAAAGUUUUGAAUCGGAUUCAAACAACAACAUUACAUCAACUUUAAGAAGUUAAUUUUCUUAAAACAUGAAUCUUCCUUCUCAAAAGGAACAAGAACAGCUCCUGCAGAAAUUACCCAGCAUGACCACCAUGACCACCUGCAAUGAAGAUGAUCUUGAAAUAUUAGUCACCACUAAGAUGGGGCAUAACAAAGUUGCAACUAGCAUACAAUUUUGAACUAGUUGAAAUAAAAGUACAAAGAGCAAACACCACAACAAGAAACUAACUAUCUAUCUCAGACUUUAGCCUAUGACUUGGUUAUCAGAUUUUUUGAUAAACACAAAUUAGAAUAUCUAUCUCAGACAACAAACUAUGAACCAAAAAAACCAAAAAAAUAAGUCUUUUAGCUAUUCUAAUCACACCCAUCCACGCACACACACAAGCAGAAAAAACCCAUCCAAACACACACAAAAGAACGCUCUUGCUUUUAUAUUCGUUGAACAUAUGAAUAUUUUAAAUGAGCAAGUAGAGGGAAAUGGUGUCCCAAAUCUCAAGUAGGAAAUUUAAGGCGUUCGAUUUCUGUAAAUCUCAAGUAGAGGGAAGAUGAUAUUAUUAAAUAUAUAUAUAUAUAUAUAUAUAUAUAUAUAUAUAUAUAUAUAUAUAUAUAAAAUAUAUAAAAGUAAUUUUUUAUAUAUUUUAUAUAUAUAUAUAUAUAUAUAUAUAUAUAUAUAUAUAUAUAUAUAUAUAAAAGAUAUGAAAAAGAUAUUAUGGAGGAAAGGUGGAUGAGGAUGGGAGAAGUGAAAGGGAAAGCUGUCCAAAAGGCAGUGAGUUAUAAGUGUUUCUGUAUGCUUCCUUAGCUUAACUAUUUAUUUAUCUACUGUGUGCAUGUCUUUUCAUUUGUGACCAUGUAUAUCUUCUUUAGUACUACCAUUUUCUGAAUUUUAUAUAUUAAGACUUGUAAGAACAAACCCUUGCAUUCAUUAUACAAAUGUAAGAACAAUACUUGUAAAUAUCUCUGCAUCUUUUAUAGUAAUACAGAAAUGAACAUCAAGAUGCACACCAAAGAAGCCAUGUUUUAACGUCUAUAGAAAGAACAACAUAGAUUCCGCAGAAUUUUACAAAGGGCUAUAGAAAAGUUGCGACAAAAGAACGCUCUUACUGGGAUUUCUAUUUCUCUAUCAUUUUUUCCAAGUGUUUUAUAGUCCAGGAAAAUAAUUUAUUAUACAAUAUUAUUUGGUACUUACUUUAAUUAAAGACAGAUAUGGAGGGGGGAGAUUCAGUGAGAGACGCGAUUUAAAGAGACGAAGGCGAGCGAGUCGAUUGGGAGAGAGUUCGAGAGAGAGGUGAGAUCGACAGAGAUGGUGGGGAGAGAUUCCAGCGAGAGAGACGCAAUAUAGACGGAGGCGAGAGAGUCGAGGGAAGAGGGAGAGAAAUCGAGAGUGAAAACUAAAAGGGAAGAGCGGCGAUGAUUUUGGUAACCCGGGGUAUAUGUAAGGUUUGUAUAAACCGGCUGGUGGUGUACAUGUUCCCAUUCCCGUUUAUUAAAAUUCUAAAACAAACAGCCUGUUAGGGAUUGGGCUUUCCAUUCCUGUUUACCAGCCCCAUUAACCCCCAACCAAAC
rnacentral:lncRNA from 1 species